AGAUUGAACGCUGGCGGCAUGCCUUACACAUGCAAGUCGAACGGCAGCACGGAGCUUGCUCUGGUGGCGAGUGGCGAACGGGUGAGUAAUAUAUCGGAACGUACCCUAGAGUGGGGGAUAACGUAGCGAAAGUUACGCUAAUACCGCAUACGAUCUAAGGAUGAAAGUGGGGGAUCGCAAGACCUCAUGCUCGUGGAGCGGCCGAUAUCUGAUUAGCUAGUUGGUAGGGUAAAAGCCUACCAAGGCAUCGAUCAGUAGCUGGUCUGAGAGGACGACCAGCCACACUGGAACUGAGACACGGUCCAGACUCCUACGGGAGGCAGCAGUGGGGAAUUUUGGACAAUGGGCGAAAGCCUGAUCCAGCAAUGCCGCGUGAGUGAAGAAGGCCUUCGGGUUGUAAAGCUCUUUUGUCAGGGAAGAAACGGUGAGAGCUAAUAUCUUUUGCUAAUGACGGUACCUGAAGAAUAAGCACCGGCUAACUACGUGCCAGCAGCCGCGGUAAUACGUAGGGUGCAAGCGUUAAUCGGAAUUACUGGGCGUAAAGCGUGCGCAGGCGGUUUUGUAAGUCUGAUGUGAAAUCCCCGGGCUCAACCUGGGAAUUGCAUUGGAGACUGCAAGGCU
rnacentral:rRNA from 1 species